rnacentral:rRNA from 1 species
GUACCCCAAACCGACACAGGUGGUCAGGUAGAGAAUACCAAGGCGCUUGAGAGAACUCGGGUGAAGGAACUAGGCAAAAUGGUGCCGUAACUUCGGGAGAAGGCACGCUGAUGGUAGGUGAAGCGACUUGCUCAUGGAGCUGAAAUCAGUCGAAGAUACCAGCUGGCUGCAACUGUUUAUUAAAAACACAGCACUGUGCAAACACGAAAGUGGACGUAUACGGUGUGACGCCUGCCCGGUGCCGGAAGGUUAAUUGAUGGGGUUAUCCGUAAGGAGAAGCUCUUGAUCGAAGCCCCGGUAAACGGCGGCCGUAACUAUAACGGUCCUAAGGUAGCGAAAUUCCUUGUCGGGUAAGUUCCGACCUGCACGAAUGGCGUAAUGAUGGCCAGGCUGUCUCCACCCGAGACUCAGUGAAAUUGAACUCGCUGUGAAGAUGCAGUGUACCCGCGGCAAGACGGAAAGACCCCGUGAACCUUUACUAUAGCUUGACACUGAACAUUGAGCCUUGAUGUGUAGGAUAGGUGGGAGGCUUUGAAGUGUGGACGCCAGUCUGCAUGGAGCCAACCUUGAAAUACCACCCUUUAAUGUUUGAUGUUCUAACGUAGACCCGUGAUCCGGGUUGCGGACAGUGUCUGGUGGGUAGUUUGACUGGGGCGGUCUCCUCCCAAAGAGUAACGGAGGAGCACGAAGGUUAGCUAAUCCUGGUCGGACAUCAGGAGGUUAGUGCAAUGGCAUAAGCUAGCUUGACUGCGAGCGUGACGGCGCGAGCAGGUGCGAAAGCAGGUCAUAGUGAUCCGGUGGUUCUGAAUGGAAGGGCCAUCGCUCAACGGAUAAAAGGUACUCCGGGGAUAACAGGCUGAUACCGCCCAAGAGUUCAUAUCGACGGCGGUGUUUGGCACCUCGAUGUCGGCUCAUCACAUCCUGGGGCUGAAGUAGGUCCCAAGGGUAUGGCUGUUCGCCAUUUAAAGUGGUACGCGAGCUGGGUUUAGAACGUCGUGAGACAGUUCGGUCCCUAUCUGCCGUGGGCGCUGGAGAAUUGAGGGGGGCUGCUCCUAGUACGAGAGGACCGGAGUGGACGCAUCACUGGUGUUCGGGUUGUCAUGCCAAUGGCAUUGCCCGGUAGCUAAAUGCGGAAAAGAUAAGUGCUGAAAGCAUCUAAGCACGAAACUUGCCCCGAGAUGAGUUCUCCCUGACCCUUUAAGGGUCCUGAAGGAACGUUGAAGACGACGACGUUGAUAGGUCGGGUGUGUAAGCGUAGCGAUACGUUGAGCUAACCGAUACUAAUGAACCGUGAGGCUUAACCUU